AUCACAUCAUUCAAACUAGUAUAAUUUAUAAUUUUCCUAUCACAAAUCUUAUGCAUACAAAAUAAGUAUCACCCAAUAUAAAAUAGUAAAUUCAAUUCAUCAUAGAUAUAAUUAGUUUAAUACAAAUAGGCUUCAUCGCUCAAAAACAACAAAAAAAACCACUAAUAUUGUGGGUAGCUAACUAACUAAUACUCCUCAAAAGCGUAAAUGCAUAAACGUGGCACGCAAGCCGAAAGGGGAACUAUCUACUUCUAUGCUCCAAGUUCUAGCGCGCUCCAGUGACUUA